rnacentral:rRNA from 1 species
AGGGCCGCGGUAAUUUGACCGUGCGAAGGUAGCAUAAUCAUUAGUCUYUUAAUUGAAGGCUUGUAUGAAAGGUUGGAUGAGGGACAAUCUGUCUUUUUUUAUUUUAUGAAUUUAACUUUUAAGUGAAAAGGCUUAAAUAUAUUAGUGGGACGAUAAGACCCUAUAAAACUUUAUGUAAUUUAGGUUUAGUGUGCAUAUUUAGUUUAAAGUUAUUUUUCUUAGAUUAUAUUUUGUUGGGGAGAUGAUAAUAUAAUUUGUAACUGUUUCUUUAAUUUAAUAAUUAUAAUUAGUUUUUGAUCCUUUAAUAGAGAUUAAAAGAUUAAGUUACUUUAGGGAUAACAGCGUAAUUUUCUCHGAGAGUUCUUAUCGACGAGAGUAGUUGCGACCUCGAUGUUGAAUUAAAAUUUCAGURACGUGUAGUCRCUUYUCUGGUGGGUCUGCUCBACCUUYMMAAUUUU